GUUGGCUACAGGCUGUAGUCAACUCAAGACAACUGGGAAGGAUCCUCUUCCUUGCUGACUCUUGUGUUUGUUGGCUGGACUCAGUUUCUUGUGGGAUGCAUUUGUUGGACUGAGGCCUCAGUUGUUCACAAACUUUAGUCUGGAGCCCUCCAUCCAUUCCUAGCCAUUUGGGCCUCUCCAUGGACUAUCUUGAAACAUGGACUCUGUUUCAUCAGAUUGAGCAAGCAAGAAGGCGUGAGACAACAACAGAAAGAGAGAAAUCUAGCAAGACAGAAGUCUUGUAGACCGUCUGUAAACAGUGUUUUGUAAGCCUAUAAUGAAAUAUCUUGUUUUUAUUGAAUUCUAUUAGUCAGAAGCAAUUCACCAGGUCUAGCCCACACUCAAGGGAAACGAAUAACGUCAUAAAUACUGAGAGGUAGGGUUACUGGGAGCCAUGUCAGAAGCUGCCUCUCACACUAAGUAAGCAUGUAUUUAAUUAAUAGGUGUUUCAAUAAAAUUAAUUCAAUAAAUAUUGGGAACCCAUCAAGCACCAUGAUGGAAAGAAACAGAAAUUAAACACAGCUUUAUUCAAAAAUAAAAUGUAAAUUAUUUAUUUAUUGUAUAAAAUUGAUACAGUGCCUCAUUUUGCCCUCCACGUAUAACUAUUAACUAAUUGAAAAAAAAGUAAUUAGUUUAGAGACAUCAUAUUAUAUGACUAAAAUUGACUUUGAAAAGAGGUUGGAGAAUUUUCACAGUGCCAGUCUUUGGGAGAAAUUUUCAAAACCAAAAGAGAAAACCAUAGCAGUAUCAAACAUUUGAAAAGCCUUCAUGGGAGAAUUGUCUAAAAACUCUUAGGUACUUAACUAAUUUUAUUUAAGUGUUUUACACUGUAAACUUCAGAUUAAUGGUUCUAAACAUGUGGUCCAGGCAUACAUUGGGGAUCACCAAACUAUCUCAGGGUUAUGUGUCUGGUUGAAAUUAUUUUGAUCAUAAUAUGAAGGUAUAAUUUGCCUUUUCACUCAUUGUCUUGAGUAUACAGUAAAGAUUUUCUGAGGCUACAUUCAUGUGAUCCUGCAAUAGAUAGAAUGAGAAGUUAAUAUGAAAAAUUGGUUGAACUGUAUCAAGUUAAACAUUAAGGGGAACAGACUAAAUGUUUUGGAAAAUAAAGUUAUCUUUUGCAAAAUAUCAUCUACAUUAGCAUUAUAUAACGUAAUAUACUUAAUUUGUUAUUUUUAAGUAAAAUAAUGAGCAUAUAUUGUUUAAACUUCUUAGUUUGAAUUUUAAUAUUUUAACUGUUGACACAUAUAACCAAUAUAGACUAAAGCUCUUUAAUAUAUAAGGUAUAUAAAGCUCUUUAAUAGUGUACAGAAAUCCUAAAACCAAAAGCUUUAGAAUCACUGAAUUAGAUAAUGCCUAAACUACCCACAGCUUUUUCAACAACUUAGAUGGAAAAUACAUUUUAAGAAACAGAAAUUUAUAUCAUUAUACCUGUUGUCUCAUUAUUUGUUUUCAUUAAAUUCAAAUUUCAGAUGUUGUCACUUCAAUAAACAAUGGCAUGGGUGGAACGAUCAUUUUAAACAAGAAAAUAAUUUUGAAUGUAAAUGUGAAGUCAAUGACCUUCUUUAGUCACACAAAAAUAUUUAUUACACUCAUGUAACUGGAAAUUAUUUUAAAAAAUAUUUUCCCUCCUGAGUAGAGUAAGAUUAUAAAGGCAAGAUUAUAAUUAUAUCAGCAAAAUCAGUGUGAGGGCAAGACAUAAUGACUUUUAAUGGAUUUUAGGUAUAUAUUUUUAAUAAGGCUUGUACUGUAUCUUGUGAAUAAUUUAAUGACUGUAAGCGAAGUGGGAGCCCAACUGUAAUCUACUUAUCCAGAAAUACACCACUUCUUCAUCAUCAAAUAAACCUCAGGUAACUCUAGGUUACCUGAGGUUGGGGGGGAUUCUUUUCCUUUAAUAAUUAGUUUUAAUGAUAUGCUAUGAUAGGGCAUUACUAUCAAUUGGUGUUUUAAAACUAGGUAUAGAGAGAGUCAUUAUACUUAGGCAGAACGGUAGUGCUUAAUUGAUGAACUAUAACGGAAAAGCCCCAUGACAGAUAAAAAGCCCAACUUUUAUUUCAUUUUAUUAAGAGCCACUGAAUUUCAAAAGGGAAAAGGGCCAGCAACAGAUUACUCAUUACAGCUCAAAUAAAUUUAACUGUUAAUUUUAUAUUUCUCUAAUCACAGAUUCUUUCAAGAUUGUUCUCAUUUGCUAUAUUCCAGGACAAGCGUAUAUAAUUUCAUUAUACAUCAUAAAUAUGAGAUUUUUUUUGGAAAAAUCUAAUUUUAUAGUACAUGGACCUAUAAAAUAAUAAUAUCCAUCUCCCUCAAGCACUUAGUCCAUAAAGCAAAAAUUGAGGAAGGUAAAACACAUACGGAUUUGGCUUUCUAUUCUGAUUAGAAGGUAGAAAUUUGCAAGAGAGCAUUAUUCCUACAAUAACAAUGAAGAAAACUAAUAAAAUAAAUCAGUGAUCUGUGGAUGCAAAGAAACUUAAAUGAAAUAAAUUUUAGUCAUGAAGUCGACAGUUGCUAACAAUUUUGAGUAUGGCACAAGGAGAAGCCAACACUAUAUAAACUGGGUAAGGAUUAACCAGUGUAAUUUUUAAUAAACUUUUAAGGGCCAUGUCUUUAAAAUAAGCCUAACCAAUUACAAUUUUGAGGAAUGUGAAUCACAGUAAUUCACUGCCAACUCUGUCCUUAGGGGGUUUUGCCAAGUGCAGAGCAUUAGUACAUCAUAAGUGGAAGCAAGGGUAUUGCACUGGGAAAUAACACCUAGGAACAUAUCUUUAUGAACUGAAAGUCAGCAGCUGGCAGUUUAGGGAAGGGUAGAAAUGCUGAGGGAAACAACCUGAGGCAUAUCUAGUUAUACCUUGCAAGAACAAAAUAGUGACUCAUUUAAGUAGAAACAGGUGAAAAGAACUAAGGGAAACUCCUCAAGGUACGCAGGGGGUCCUUUCUGAAUGGACAGCAACAGCUCACUCAGGAGGUGUGUAUUUCUGGAUAAAUAGAUUAUAGUUGGGCUCCCACUUCACUUACAGUCUUUAUUCACAAGAUACAGUACAAGCCUUAUUAAAAAUAUAUACCUAAAAUCCAUUAAAAGUCAUUAUGUCUUGCCCUCACACUGAUUUUGCUGAUAGAAUUAUAAUCUUGCCUUUAUAAUCUUACUCUACUCAGGAGGGUAGUACUGGAAAAUUGAGAGUAAUACCUGAAAAUUCAGGGGAACUUUCUGAGAGUGCAUGAUAGUAGUCUGCAAGUUACUGGGGACAGAAAAAGACAGCCCAGAGAGUUCCCCCAGAGGAACAGAAAGACUUUGCUGAGUUCACAGCAAGAGCCCCAGAAAGGUAGUAUAAAUAUCAUGAUAACUGAGAGAAAUCCCCCUAAGCACACAAAAGCUUCACCAAGUGAAAUCAGUACCCAAUAAAGGCCACAGAAGGGUAACAAGAUUAAGAGAGACUUCCUGAGGUACAUAAAGCUAGAAGUGGGCUAGAGGUUCAAGAACACACCUGAUCAUCCCCAAAAGAUGGUAGCUGGGUUAUAAAGCGGAGAGAGGGUCUUGGGAGUAUCACCAGUACUCAGACCCCAACUCUUGCCUUAAAAACAGUCUUAUUCUGUUAAAAAAAAUUUGAAGCCAGUGAUUAAGUGAAUAAAAAUAGGAAAAAAAAACACAGAACUACCUCUAGUAUAGGUUAAAUUACUCUACCUCAACAGCAAAGAAAAAAGGAUGGUGAACUUGAAAACAGGUCACUAAAAAUUAACCAAGUUGCGGCACAAAAAUAAUAAUAAAAUAAAGAGAGGGUCUGAGAUGUAUGGGAUAAUAUAAAAUGUUUAAUACAUAUGUAAUUAGGUUCACAGACAGUAAAUGGUAAUGGGCUUGAAGAAAUAUUUGUAGAGAAAAUGGCCAAAAUUUUUAUAGACUUAAAUGUCCAAAUAUUUCAAUAUAAAAUAUAUAUUGUCUAAGUUUGCACACACAUAUAUAAUUACCAAAUUUAAAAUGAACCCAAACCAACUAGAAUGACAAACCGUCUAUAUUAGUCAGAGUUAUCUAGAGGGACAGAACUAACAGGAUAUAUGUAUAUAUGAGAGGGAGUUUAUUAAGGAGAAUUGACUCACACAAUAACAAGGUAAUGUCCUAUAAUAGGCCAUCUGAAAGUUGAAGAGCAAGGAAGCCAGUAGUGGAUCAUUCUAAGUCCCAAAGCCUCAAAAGUAGGGAAGCCGGCAGUGCAGCUUUCAAUCUGUGGCCAAUGGUCUGAGUCCCUGGCAAACCACAAGUGUAAGUCCAAGAGUUCAAAAGCUGAAGAACUUGGAAUCUGAUGUUCCAGGGCAGGAAGCAUCCAGCACGGGAGAAAGGUGGAGGCCAGAGGACUCAGAAAUUCUGCUCGUUCCACCUUCUUCUCCCUGCUUUUUUUCUAGCUGUGCUGGAAGCCAAGGUGAUUGUGCCAACCCAGGUUAAGGGUGGGUCUGCCUCUCCUAGUCCACAGACUCAAAUGUUCACCUCCUCUGAAACACCCUCACAGACACACCCAGAAUCAAUACCUUGCAUCCUUCAAUCCAAUCAAGUUGACACUCAAUAUUAACCAUCACACAUUCUAAAGAAAAUCUAAGACUUGUGAUUAUUACUUUUAUGUGACAACUUGCCUUUGUUAAGGGAUACCCAAGUAGCUAGUAAAAAUAUUAUUUCUGGGUAUGUCUGUGAGAGUGUUUCUGGAAGAGAUUAGCCUUAGAAUUAGUGGACUGAGAAAAUAAAAUUGUCCCUCAACAAUACGGGCAGACAUCAUGCAAAUCCUUGAGGGCUUGGAUAGGACAAAAAAGCUGAGAAAGUUGAAUUAUCUUUAUCUUCUGGAGCCAGAUUAUUCAUCUUCUGCCCUCAGACAUGAAAGCUUCUAAUGUUUGCAGUCUCAAACUGGCAGUUAUACCAUAGGUUCCCCUGGUUUUCAGGCCUUCCAAUGAAAACUGAGUUGCACUACUGACUUUCCUGGUUCUUCGGCUUGCAAACAGCAUGUCUUGGAUUCCACAGUCAUGUGAGCCAAUUCCGAUAGUAAAUCUUCUCAUAUAUCUUUAUAUAUCCUAUUUGUUUCGUCUCUCUGGAGAACCCCUGCUAAUACAGGAGUAGAGCUUUUUGAUCUUGGAAUAAGCAAAUAUAUGUUUUGUACAAGUAACAAAAUGAUAACACACUAUAUCUAUAUAAACACACACACAUACAAUCUACCUAUACCUAUAUCUAUUUAUCUAUAUAUCUAUAUAUAUGUAUGUGUAUAUAUAAUAUAUAAAUAUACAAUUGGUCAGAAAGAUAUACUAAUGGUUAAUACACCCAUCAAAAUGUGUUUAACACAAUUACAUGAUAAAGGUUUAAAUUCCAACACAUUUUGAUGCCAAUUCACAUAUACUCAAAGAGGAAAAAGAAAAACAUUCACAAUACUGAAUAUUGCCAACUUUAUAAAACAACUGAAAAUGUCAUGCAUUUCUGAUGGGAAGAUAAAAUGACAUAAACAUUUUUGAAAGUUGCUUGACAGUUUUCUAUUAAGUUAAAAAUAUAUCUACCGUAUUACCCAGCAAACAGUCUUGUAUAUUUACAUAACUAAAAUAAAAAUAUAUGUUCACAAAAAUCUUACACAGGAAGAUCCCUAACAGCUUUAUUUAUAGUAGCCCAAAACUAGAAACAACUAAAUGUCAACAAACAUUUACUGGACAAACAAUCUGUUGGACAAAUAAACUGUUAUAUAUUUUUUCAAUGUAAUACUAUACAACAACAAAACGUACAUACUAUGGAUACCUGCAACAACAUGGGUGAAUCAUAAAAAGGAAAUUAUGCAGGCUGGGUGGGGUGGCUCACACUUGUAAUCCUAACACUGAGAAGCUAAGGAGGGGAGAUCGCUUUAGACCAAGAGUUUGAGACCAGCCUGGGCAACAUAGCAAAACCCUGCCCCUACUAAAACACAAAAAAUUAGCCAAGCAUGGUGGCACGUGCCUCUAGUGCCAGCUACUCAGGAAGGUGAGCUGAGAGAAUUACCUGAGCUUGGGAAGUCGAGGCUGCAGUGAGCCAAGAUCGUGCCAUUGCACUCCAGCCUGAGCAACUGGGAGUGAGGCCCUGUCAAAAGAAAAAAGAAAAAAAUUAUGCUGAGUAAAAGGAGCUAGACACAAUCACACAAACAAACCUAUAUUGAAUGAUGUUGUUUACAUUAAUUCAAGAAUAGAAAUAAAAGAGAUAGGAGUAAAGAUUCUAGCAUAAAGACCAUCAUCUUUCAAUUUGGAUGGUGGUUACAUGAGUGUAAUUCAAUUGUUAAAACUCACUGAUCUGUUCAAGACUUGUGCAUUUUAUUUUAUUUAUACUUCAAUAAAAUUUUAUAUUAUUC
rnacentral:lncRNA from 10 species